UCCCAUCCCGAACUCGGUCGUUAAGCCUCUCCGGGCCAAUGGUACUUCGUCUUAAGGCGCGGGAGAGUAGGUCGCCGCCAGGU
rnacentral:rRNA from 1 species